rnacentral:misc_RNA from 1 species
UUUUUUUUCUUUUUUUUUUUCCUCUUUUAAUACAUGGGCCAAUUUUAGCCAUGGGACACAGUUCAACCAGCACUUUGGUCUGAUUCUGAUAACUAUGCCUGCAGUUCCUUCACCUUCUUGAAAUAUUUAUUUUCUUCUGUCUAUCUAUGAUAAAAAUCUUGUGCAUACGUAGCAUGAGUCUGAAUUCUUCAGUUUAUAACCCCCGUACAUUAUUUUAUCUCCCCUGAUUUUUUUUAAAAACUUAUCUUUUGUUGCCCCACUGACUAAUGAAUUCAACCUCCAAUGUGCUUGUAGCUAAUGAUGUUGGCAUUGUCAUUAAAGUAUAUUUUAUCAUAGUCCAUUUCAGAAAUUAAGGAUCACUAGGAUGGCAACAGCAAUGCUGCUUGUCAGUUUAACAUUUAACUUCUUUUGGCAGUACCCUGCUCAAUCAAUUCUCCAGUUAUUAAAUAGGAUUUAUGAAAUUAGAAGUCUACAGAUCAGAUAAUUUAUUCCAUUUGCAAUACUGUUAUCUGCUAAUCAUCUGGUGCACAUCAUCUGUUCUUAAGUCACAUAGGGAUGAAGAGCGAUUAGAAGUCUUUAAAGAAGGCAUGAAUUUUUAUAGAUUUAUUUCAGAAAUUAUGUUUACAUCCCCAGUAGAGAAUGUAGCCCCAAACUUCAGGCUAGAAAUACACACAGGGCAGGCCAAGUCUACUUUCCAUUGUAUGAGAUGGAAAGUUCCGAUAAGAAAAUUUAACUUAAGGAUCUUUGAAUGGUUAAUUGUUCUAGAAUUGCCUAGUGAAGUUAGUUAAGACUGAUUUAGUCUUUUUUCCUUGUUUCUUUGUUUCUGUAGUGGUUAACCAAGUUUGAGGUCCGUUUCAUGGCAAAUUUCUAGGAUGUAUUUUGGAGCAAUCUUGCCAAAUGCUUUGUUCUUUUUUGAAAUAAAAUUUCAUUUAUUUAUAAAUAAAAAGAAACACUCCUAAGCAAAUAUAAUGUGUUGAGUGGGACGUUUGAAAAUUUCAAGCUUCAUUAAAAGAUGUCAAAUCUUCUCCAUUGAUCUUGCUUAUGCAGCAUUCAAUAAAGGACAUGAUUAUAACAGUAUACGUAGAAGCUGGGUUAAGAAACAGUCCACAAUUCCCUUAGAGAUGCUGUGAUGUGAAAUGUUAAAUUAUCAUACAAUGAAAUGUGCCUGUUAAGAUGUAUUUAAACCAACAAAAACUUUGAAUGACUUUUCUUGUGCCAAAUUAAAUUAGUUACGCAACUGAUUUAUUUGAUUAAAAAUCCUUAUAAGUCACUUUUGUUUGGAAGUCUGAUAUUUCUCUGAUUACGAUUUCACCUGACUGAGGUUUUGAACAGACUUCUAUAUGACUGAUAAAAAACCCGGCAUCAGAGCUAUGGUGAAAGCUGGUCCUGUUUGUAAAGUUGUUCCCCUGAUUAUUGAGAGCAAACUAGUGAGUACUAAAAGAAAAUGCAGAAUUAUAUCUCCACAGUUGAGUAAAUGGUUACCAGAAAGAAGCCUCUCAGUUGAAGCCCGUCUACUGCAGUUGGAAGAAGGGUAAAGCUACUACUAUAAUUUUAUUUUCAAAUUACAUUGUGCAUGAUUUUCAGGAGCUAUAGGCUGGAAACUUGUGUUUGAUUCAGCAAUAUACAAGAAGGAAGCAUUGUGACUGUAAUUGGGGUGCUGCAUAAAAAUAAUGAAAUUUUGGUGAUUAUUCAACCAGAAGAGCUUCUCUGUGCAGGAUGACUGUGGGAAAAGCUUCUUUUCUCUGUUGAAGUUGAUGGACUAGUCCUUGGAGUUUCCAAUAUGGCUGGCCGGAUCAUGAACCCAGAUUACAGGCAACACAUAGAACAAUAAUGUCUAACCUAUUAGAAACAUAGGAAAAUGUAAGGACUUUAGAAUUUCUGUUUGAUUAACUGAUUUCUUCUAGAAUUUUCCCUUCCUGUUGCGCAUGCACCUGUGCAGUGUGCACUCAAUUUUGAUUUUAAUCCUUUUAAUUAUCCACGUGUUAUCAAUUGUAAGAAGAAAUUGUCUGGAAUCUGGAUAGACCUUUUUCGAACUUCAUAUAUAACCAGUAUUCUCCAAUCUUAGGAUUCAUGUCCUGUUUCUUCCAUAAUGGAAAUUUUCCACUUUGAAUUCC